CCUACGGGAGGCAGCAGUGAGGAAUAUUGGACAAUGGGUGGAAGCCUGAUCCAGCCAUCCCGCGUGCAGGAAGACGGCCCUAUGGGUUGUAAACUGCUUUUAUCUGGGGAUAAACCUACUUACGUGUAAGUAGCUGAAGGUACCAGAAGAAUAAGCACCGGCUAACUCCGUGCCAGCAGCCGCGGUAAU
rnacentral:rRNA from 1 species